GACGAACGCUGGCGGCGUGUUUAACACAUGCAAGUCGAACGGAAAGGCCCUGCUUUUGUGGGGUGCUCGAGUGGCGAACGGGUGAGUAACACGUGAGUAACCUGCCCUUGACUUUGGGAUAACUUCAGGAAACUGGGGCUAAUACCGGAUAGGAGCUCCUGCUGCAUGGUGGGGGUUGGAAAGUUUCGGCGGUUGGGGAUGGACUCGCGGCUUAUCAGCUUGUUGGUGGGGUAGUGGCUUACCAAGGCUUUGACGGGUAGCCGGCCUGAGAGGGUGACCGGCCACAUUGGGACUGAGAUACGGCCCAGACUCCUACGGGAGGCAGCAGUGGGGAAUAUUGCACAAUGGGCGGAAGCCUGAUGCAGCAACGCCGCGUGCGGGAUGACGGCCUUCGGGUUGUAAACCG
rnacentral:rRNA from 1 species